rnacentral:ncRNA from 1 species
CUUAUCACGAGUGGCAGAGGGAUGGGCCCGAUGAAGCCACGGCAGCCGGUCAGAUCGCAGUCUGAUGUCAAGGUGCCAAAUCCCACAACGCAGCACACCCCACAUUGCUGGAAGCGUUGACAGAUAA